GACCCCAUUAGGAAUCAGUUUCCUCAGGGAGGCCACAGAACACAAAAAGUGUCCUCUCUCCCUUUCUUUCUGCCUCUAGGCCAGGCUUUGGCAGUUCUGGUAGUGAUCAGUGUUGGGGCCAAUCUACUGUCUGCCAGGGGCACCAUCGUCAGGGCCAGAGAUCAUGAUUCGAUACAGGAGUUUGGGCCUGGUGGCUGCCUAUGUCCUUUCAUUGUGGCUGAUCACCUCCUUCCUACACCAGCACUCCAGCCAGAAGGACCUCCGUAAUAUGGCCAAGAUACACCCAGGAAUCUGCCACUGUCCCAGCAACUUUUCCAGAAAAUGCAACUGCUCAUCUGAGGUCCAGACAUGCUCUGCCUGCCUCCACGUGCCUGGCGAGUCUGACUGGUUUGACAGACGCUUCGACAGUACCGUUGAACCCCUACAGAGGCCACAAGAUCCCACGUCCAAUGAUGCUCUGAUAUUGUGGCUGGGACUCGAGAGGGUCAAGUCAGAGAAGGAGGUUGAGAAUAAGCAGCAGCAGCUGAUUAAAGCACCUCACCUGUGCCCACUGGGCCAUGUGGUGUCCAACUGCCGGGUCUGUGCAGUGGUGGGAAACUCAAGGUCUCUACGGAGCUCUGGCCUUGGCUUCAGGAUUAAUCAACAUGAAGUGGUCCUCAGGAUGAACCAGGCCCCUGCCCGAGGCUUUGAGGCAGAUGUGGGGAACAGGACCACCAUGCGCAUUAUGUACCCUGGGAUUGCCAGCCCUCAGGACCCCGGUACCCAACUGCUGCUGCUUCCGUUGAAUUCAUCUGGUCUGGAGUGGUUCAUAAGUGUACUGCAUAAACAGACAAGCAUGUGGAAGCAAAAAAAACCCUGGAUUUCAGACGGUUCAGGUUCCUGGUGGAACCGAAGACAGCAAAGAUAAGGUGCUGGUGAUCAGCCUCUACUUCCUCAGGUAUAUCCAGGAAAGUUGGCUGGAGAACCAUGGUCAGUAUCCGUCCUUGGAGUUUGUGGCUCUGUUGUAUGCCUUGCAUACCUGUGACCAGGUAUCCUCGUUUGGUUUUGGGGCAGACAUUGCAAAAGGUGGUCCCAUUACUGGAAUGACAAAUAUUGGUUUGAGAACACCAUGCAAAAUUUCCCAGCAGAAUACCAGAUCAUCUUGAAACUGCAGUGUGAGAGGAA